rnacentral:rRNA from 1 species
CUACGGGGGGCUGCAGUGGGGAAUAUUGGACAAUGGGGGAAACCCUGAUCCAGCAAUGCCGCGUGUGUGAAGAAGGCCUGCGGGUUGUAAAGCACUUUUGGUUGGGAGGACUGCUUCUAGCACUAAUAUUGUUGGAAGUUGACGUUACCUUCAGAAGAAGCACCGGCUAACUCCGUGCCAGCAGCCGCGGUAAUACGGAGGGUGCAAGUGUUAAUCGGAAUUACUGGGCGUAAAGCGCGCGUAGGCGGCUAGAUCAGUCGGGUGUGAAAGCCCCGGGCUUAACCUGGGAACUGCAUCCGAUACUGUCUAGCUUGAGUACAGGAGAGGAGAGUGGAAUUCCACAUGUAGCGGUGACAUGCGUAGAUAUGUGGAGGAACACCAAUGGCGAAGGCAGCUCUCUGGCCUGAUACUGACGCUGAGGUGCGAAAGCGUGGGGAGCAAACAGGAUUAGAUACCCCCGUAGUC